rnacentral:snoRNA from 1 species
AACCCAUGGUGAGGGCACCUUCUCAACAGAUCCUUGUUUUCUCCCAUGCAUCGUAGAGUGUUUUUAGAUCCAUAUGCAUAAAAGAAGAGAUAUCAUUCCUUAAUUU